UACAGUGAUCACCACCCUUUCUGUUUAACCAGCGGGUGAAACGGGACUUAAACUUUGAGAUGUAGCCAUUCGAUUAACGAUAACGUGUAUUCUGUGGGCAAAUGUUAAUUUUAAAUUGUUCCCAUGGGCCAUAUUAGGCUUUGCAUAACAUUAAUUAUUUUGUGCACUAAAUAAUAAGGUGUACGUGGAUGUUUUGUGAUUGCUUUUAAAAAUCAUACUUAUUUUAAAAACUUUGCUAUGGACCAAAACGAAGUUUGGUGUGAGCGGUACCUUAGAUUGAGCCAGUUGCACACUGAUAUGUUGAGGCUAAGCCAAACUUCAGGUUCUAGACACGUGUGCCAGAGCAGGUCCGGUAGACUGGGCAGCAGCCAGACCAACAUUUUAUCACAGUAACUUGCUCAUAAAGAGUUGUUCCUUGUAAAGUAAUGAUUUAACAACCAAGCCACUAUCUCUAUAUCAUCAGCAGUUACAAACAUCAAAAUAUUUGCUUAUAUGUACGUUUUGUAAAAAGCCAGAAUUGUAGUCAGGACUAUGACAAAGUAAAGAAGCUUAUGAAUACAAAUGAGGCUGAUUCCCACUUAACUGGAUUAAUGGAGACUCUUAGACAAGCAGAGCAGAAGCUUUUAAGUUCUAGAAUUUGGUUGGCUGAUCCCAAGUUUGAAAUAUGGAAGAGAUUGUACUGGAAGAAUGUGCAAAAUUCAUUAUCUCAUUGGAACCAAAACCAGAAAAGACCUAAUGAUGUUAAAGAAAAACAUUCAAAAUACAGUCAAAUUUAAACAAUUCUAUGGUUGCAAUAGGAAUUAUUAGUACAAGAAAGUUGUGUAAAAGAAUAACUUACAAUUGCUAGAAAAUUUCAUUAUUUUCUAUUUAUCUGUGAGUAUUUGUUCUAAUAAAUACUUAUACCAUAGUG